UACGGAGGAUCCAAGCGUUAUCCGGAAUCAUUGGGUUUAAAGGGUCCGUAGGCGGUUUAGUAAGUCAGUGGUGAAAGCCCAUCGCUCAACGGUGGAACGGCCAUUGAUACUGCUAAACUUGAAUUAGUAGGAAGUAACUAGAAUAUGUAGUGUAGCGGUGAAAUGCUUAGAGAUUACAUGGAAUACCAAUUGCGAAGGCAGGUUACUACUAAUGGAUUGACGCUGAUGGACGAAAGCGUGGGUAGCGAACAGG
rnacentral:rRNA from 1 species